CGUGCAUACCUGGCGACUAAUUGUGAACGUACGGUAGCUAGGAUCAUUUCGCUAGCAUUAGCUUCUCUGGUUUCGGGGACGCUCCAUACCUUUUGGACUGCAAAUGUCGACUCUUACUUCGCCGCCAUUCUUGAGUUGUUCUGGCGAGCUUUCAAAUGAACACAGCUUCCAUCCAUCUUUGCAAAACGAAGACCUCGCACGAGGACCGUGAUGAGGGCUAUCUCAGUGAACGUGGUGACAGGGAUGAGGAGUACACUUCCAAACCAGGUAAAACGUCUGCUGACUUGGACUGUGGACGACAAAUGUGAAACGUUCAUCUGUGCCUCAACAAAAAGCGCAACUGCUUUUGUGAAUCCCACGCGUGAGCUAAAAUGACAUCCUCACUUCCAGCAACUCCAAUCGCAUAAAGGUAAGUCGAGUUGUGUUUUGUGUUCAUAUGUUUUAUGAUUAAUACUGGUCUUUUAAAAAAAUAGUAUAGCAGAUAUGUCUAUGAGUUGUUACUGGCUUUAGAGAUGAAAUGAAAACCAAAAUAGAGAAUAAAGAUCAGUAUUCUGCAAAAAGAGGUGUAUGUUUAUUGUU